UCCUGAACAGGAAACUGAAAUCAUGAACAUGGUCCUAGAAAAUAACGCCAUAACAUUACGAGUCCGUGAGCUCGAGGCGGCUGCAGCGGCACCAGGUCGUCUUCAUUGAUGAGGUUGGAUUCAACCUCACAAAAGACGAAAGAGUUGAAGGAAUAUCAUCGGCCAGCGCGGAGGGAACAUCACAUGUGCAGCGUCCUCAUCACCAUGCUGCCCUUGGCCCCUACAACACUGCCCAUCCGAUCACACUCCUGGACGCCGACACAACACGCUCAUCCAGCAGUGAGGAUUUUUUUCUGCCUGGAGAUGGAAAGUGUAUGACUGAAAUCCACAAACGCGUGUACCCCUUCUCCAAGCUAUGGAAGACGCAUGUGGAGAUGGAGCAGUUGAUGCUGGGUUGGCCUGCUAGGCGACAUUGCUUGUGAUGUGGACGAGGUGCUGUGGCCAGACCCAAACACA